rnacentral:ncRNA from 1 species
AUAAAGUUUAAUUUUGGCUUAAAAAUUUAUUUAAUUUUUUUUUUACAUGUAAAUUUUUGUAUGAAUUUUAAUUAAAUUUUAAAAAUUUAGUUUAAAUAAUAUAUUCGCAGUAUUUAAUUUUAAUAAUUUAAGAAAUUAAGAAUUAGAAGUAAAUUUUAAUAUUAACAAAUUUUGUGCCAGCAGUUGCGGUUAUACAAAAAAUGUAAAUAAAUUUUAUUAGUAAAUAAUUAUAUUAUUAUUUAAUAAUAAAUUAAAAUUAUAUUUAUUAGGUGAAAUUUUAAAUAUAAAGAUAAUUUAUAAGAAAGUUUUUAUUAUUAUGAAAUUUAUAUUUAAACUAGGAUUAGAUACCCUAUUAUUUUAAAUGUAAAAUAAUUACUUAAUUAGUAUUAGUUAUGUUCUUGAAAUUUAAAGAUUUUGGCGGUAUUUUAGUCUAUUUAGAGGAACCUGUUCUAUAAUUGAUAAUCCACGAUUAACUUUACUUAUUUUAUAAAUUUGUAUACCGUUGUUAUUAGAAAAUUUUAAUAGAAAAUAAAUUUUUAAUAUUUUAAAUUAAAAAAUAUAUCAGAUCAAGGUGCAGUAUAUAUUUAAGAAGAAAUGGGUUACAAUAAAUAUAUUUAUACGAAUAAAAAAAUUGAAUAAUUUUUUUUGAAGGUGGAUUUAAUAGUAAUAAAAUUUAGUUAAAUUUUAUGAUUUUAGCUCUAAAAUAUGUACAUAUCGCCCGUCGCUCUUAUUAUAAGAUAAGAUAAGUCGUAACAUAGUAGAUGUACUGGAAAGUGUAUCUAGAAUGA